rnacentral:rRNA from 1 species
UACGAGGGGGGCAAGCGUUGUUCGGAAUUAUUGGGCGUAAAGGGCGCGUAGGCGGUUUGACAAGUCUGAUGUGAAAUCUCUGGGCUCAACCCAGAGUCUGCAUUAGAAACUGUCGGGCUUGAGUAUGGGAGAGGUGAGUGGAAUUUCCGGUGUAGCGGUGAAAUGCGUAGAUAUCGGAAGGAACACCUGUGGCGAAAGCGGCUCACUGGACCAUAACUGACGCUGAGGCGCGAAAGCUAGGGGAG